rnacentral:rRNA from 1 species
GUUUGAUCCUGGCUCAGAGUGAACGCUGGCGGCGUGCCUAACACAUGCAAGUCGAACGAUGAUGGAGGAGCUUGCUCUUCCUGAUUAGUGGCGCACGGGUGAGUAACGCAUAGGUAAUGUGCCCCUUAGAGGGGGAUAGCCACUGGAAACGGUGAUUAAUACCCCAUACUCCUUCUGGUCAUAAGGCCAGUCGGGAAACGUAUUUCGCUAAGGGAUCAGCCUAUGUCCUAUCAGCUAGUUGGUGAGGUAAUGGCUCACCAAGGCAAUGACGGGUAUCUGGUUUGAGAGGAUGAUCAGACACAUUGGAACUGAGACACGGUCCAGACUCCUACGGGAGGCAGCAGUGAGGAAUAUUGCACAAUGGAGGAAACUCUGAUGCAGCAACGCCGCGUGGAGGAUGACGCAUUUCGGUGUGUAAACUCCUUUUAAGAGGGAAGAUUAUGACGGUACCCCUUGAAUAAGCACCGGCUAACUCCGUG